rnacentral:rRNA from 1 species
CACGUAGGGGGCAAGCGUUGUCCGGAUUUAUUGGGCGUAAAGAGCUCGUAGGCGGCUUAGUAAGUCGGGUGUGAAACCUCCAGGCUCAACCUGGAGACGCCACCCGAUACUGCUGUGGCUAGAGUCCGGUAGGGGAGCGUGGAAUUCCUGGUGUAGCGGUGAAAUGCGCAGAUAUCAGGAGGAACACCGGUGGCGAAGGCGGAUCUCUGGGCCUUACCUGACGCUCAGGCGCGAAAGCUAGGGGAGCGAACUGG